rnacentral:rRNA from 1 species
AUUGAACGCUGGCGGCAGGCCUAACACAUGCAAGUCGAGCGGAUGAAGGGAGCUUGCUCCUGGAUUCAGCGGCGGACGGGUGAGUAAUGCCUAGGAAUCUGCCUGGUAGUGGGGGAUAACGUCCGGAAACGGGCGCUAAUACCGCAUACGUCCUGAGGGAGAAAGUGGGGGAUCUUCGGACCUCACGCUAUCAGAUGAGCCUAGGUCGGAUUAGCUAGUUGGUGGGGUAAAGGCCUACCAAGGCGACGAUCCGUAACUGGUCUGAGAGGAUGAUCAGUCACACUGGAACUGAGACACGGUCCAGACUCCUACGGGAGGCAGCAGUGGGGAAUAUUGGACAAAGGGCGAAAGCCUGAUCCAGCCAUGCCGCGUGUGCGAAGAAGGUCUUCGGAUUGUAAAGCACUUUAAGCUGGGAGGAAGGGCAGUAAGUUAAUACCUUGCUGUUUUGACGUUACCAACAGAAUAAGCACCGGCUAACUUCGUG